AAAAACUUGAUAGUCCUGAUCUCAUUCUUAUCAGAAUAAAGCCUGAAGUGCUGGCUACAAUGAAUGUUCUCUGAGGCCAGGGGGAAUGGAUGAUGCCUAGUGCCCUUCAAAGCUUAGUCUACUGAAUUCAGUAAGGUUAUUGCCAUUAACUUUUCUGGAAUCAGGAACUAGAGCCUGUUUUUGUUUACUGCUGAAGUUAAAUCUGAGUAGGGAAUCCAUGCAUUCAGUCAGUCAGUUCAUGGGUACAAAAGCAGGCAGCUUCAGCUGCAUAGCAACUUCCUGUUGGCUGUAAAUCAAGACUGCUGCAGUCAGUUAAAAGCAUAAAAUGGUAUGGUUGGAGGAGGGGAGAGAGGAGGAGGGCUUGGGAGCCUUGCAGCUGUUUUCACAUCCUCUCUCAAGUAGAAUUUCUUCAAUUAAAAGCAAGGAUUUUAUGCAGUGAAACUUGGAAGAAAUCAAGUUGCACAAAUGCUCCCCCCCCCCUCUCCCAGGAGCUGCCAUAAAUUGCAUUAACAGCAAAGGUUCUUAGUUAAAAACACAACUCUCAAAACAAGACAACUACCAGAAUUCAUUCAUUCUGGAGGAUAAAAACAUCAUAUGCACAGAAGAAAUUAUGCCAGUGAAUCAGUGUGUUUGCCCAGGAACGCAAGAAAGAAAAACUGUGUGACAUGCUACAGGUAAAAAAACAUCAGCAUUUCCUAUAUAACAUGCUGAGAGGAAAAAUGAGCUGGAAGGCACAUCUGCAGCCCCAGGUCAAAUUUUCAUCUUAUGCUCAUAAGCUUGAGUGUAUAAGAGUAUUCGAUAAUGUGAUGUUGCACUCUCCUUGGGCACAGUAAUCCUGACAGACAGUUCGGAAUAAGCUGAAGUGCUCUUGGAUGAAGUGAGUCUUUUGAACACACCAGUUAAUGAAGAUGUCUUUAGAGAAUAUGGCAUGAUUUACAAACACUGAAGUCCGUAAGGCUGGGUUUAUAAUUCUCAAGCAUACAUCUUCUCCCCCUCCCCCCUUACAAUCCUCUUCCCUGCAUCUUCCUUUCUUCAGCACAGGAAAUGAAGAUAAUUGUUUCUAAGAAAAAAAAAUCAACUUUGAAGAGCACUCUGAAAAUCUCAUACAACCAUGUGACAGGGUUAAAACUGUGAUGGCUUCCUAAAUGGCUGGAAAACUGCUAUGAAAUGGCAUCAUCACCAGAGGGCUUCUGCAUUAAGAAUCCCAAAGCCUAUAACAAGUCACUAAAAAUUGUGCAUCGAAGAUUUCUGUUUUGCUUUUAAAGGUUCAUUAUAAAAAAAAUCUUGUUAAUUGUUUUAAUACCAAGUCUGUAUAAUGAAUUAUUUUAAAUAGCUUAUAACAAAAGUUUGUUUGUUUUUAAAUUCCAAAAUGUUCCAACAGGCAGAAGGGCAACAUAAAAACAUUGCCACACUUGCCUUUUACUCUGAUUUUAGCUGGACGAUGCUGCUUGCUUGGAGUAUACCAGUAGAAAAUUUGCUGUGGACUUAAAAGUAUUUUGUUUAUAAACACUUUGUGUUUUAUAGGCACAGUAAGAUGUUGUGCUGUAUGGAUUAAAAAAAAAAAAAAGAGAUGUAAUUCAGUGCUUCUGUUAUGAAGAGUAACAUUUGCCUUCCAACUAUGUAAAAGUCCAUACUCAUGGAUGUGUGCUAAGACACAACUACUCACACAUGCACUUACACACGUACCCCCACACAUCCUCCCUUACUGUGCAUAUACAGCAUUCUGUAUGUGUA
ensembl:lncRNA